rnacentral:rRNA from 1 species
UACGUAGGGGGCAAGCGUUGUUCGGAAUUACUGGGCGUAAAGAGUGUGUAGGCGGUGCUCUAAGUUCGGUGUGAAAUCUCCCGGCUUAACUGGGAGGGUGCGCCGGAAACUGGAGUGCUCGAGCGUGGGAGAGGAAAGCGGAAGUUCCUGGUGUAGCGGUGAAUGCGUAGAUAUCAGGAGGAACACCUGCGGUGUAGACGGCUUUCUGGACCAUUGCUGACGCUGAGACACGAAAGCGUGGGUAGCAAACAGG